UUUAAAAGUCGAACAGACUUUAAAUUUAAANNNNUACACCUAAAAUUAUAUCUUAAUCCAACAUCGAGGUCGCAAUCUUUUUUAUCAAUAUGAACUUUCCAAAAAAAUUACGCUGUUAUCCCUAAAGUAACUUAAAUUUUUAAUCAAUAUAAUUGGAUCAAUUAUUCAUAAAUUAAUGAUUUAAAUUUUUAAAAGUUAAUUAAAUUUUAAUAUCACCCCAAUAAAAUAUAUUUUUUUAUUAUAAUUAAAAUAAUCUUUAAAAUUAAAAUAAUAAAUAUAUAAAGAUUUAUAGGGUCUUCUCGUCUUUUAAUUAAAUUUUAACUUUUUAAUUAAAAAAUAAAAUUUUAUUAAAAUUUUAAAUGAAACAGUUAAUAUUUCGUCCAACCAUUCAUUCCAGCCUUCAAUUAAAAGACUAAUGAUUAUGCUACCUUUGCACAGUUAAAAUACUGCGGCCAUUAAAAAAAUAUUGGNANGUANAUUUAAAUUAAAUUCUAAAAGACAUGUUUUGU
rnacentral:rRNA from 1 species